AGGACCACAAAGAUAGCAACCUGUCAUUUUACUAAAGCGUCAACAACAGACUAAGUAAAUAGUCUUAUUUUCAUUGAUCUUUAUCCACAUGAAAGAAACACGUGUUUAACAUUAAAAAUACAUAAUUUAUUUAGAAAAAUUCUGUAGUACGGUUAUGAGAAUGAAAAUAGUAGAAUUAGAAAACAUAAGCUGAAAUAAAGAGACAGCAAAACAAGUAUCUAGUGGAGAAGCAAAUCCAAUUGCUAAUUUAGAAAGAUGAUACUACCUCUGUCCACUUUUACAUGAUGUUUAAGGAUUUUGCAUGGUGAGUAAGAAAGCAAUUAACUUACCUAAAUUAUAACAAAAUUCUCCAUAAUUUAACUAAAUUACCCUUUAUCUCACAUGAUUAAAAGGGAGAGAGAGGGAGAUGAUGAGAUAAGUUAUAGAAAAUUGUAGAAAUAAUUAUUGUACUUAGUAGAGAUAAGGGUAAAAUUGGAAAAAAUAAUUAAUAU
rnacentral:misc_RNA from 1 species